rnacentral:rRNA from 1 species
GAUGAACGCUGGCGGCGUGCCUAAUACAUGCAAGUCGAGCGAACGGACGAGAAGCUUGCUUCUCUGAUGUUAGCGGCGGACGGGUGAGUAACACGUGGAUAACCUACCUAUAAGACUGGGAUAACUUCGGGAAACCGGAGCUAAUACCGGAUAAUAUUUUGAACCGCAUGGUUCAAAAGUGAAAGACGGUCUUGCUGUCACUUAUAGAUGGAUCCGCGCUGCAUUAGCUAGUUGGUAAGGUAACGGCUUACCAAGGCAACGAUGCAUAGCCGACCUGAGAGGGUGAUCGGCCACAAUGGAACUGAGACACGGUCCAGACUCCUACGGGAGGCAGCAGUAGGGAAUCUUCAGCAAUGAGCGAAAGCCUGACGGAGCAACGCCGCGUGAGUGAUGAAGGUCUUCGGAUCGUAAAACUCUGUUAUUAGGGAAGAACAUAUGUGUAAGUAACUGUGCACAUCUUGACGGUACCUAAUCAGAAAGCCACGGCUAACUACGUG